CGGACGGGUGAGUAAUGCUUAGGAAUCUGCCCAAUAGUGGGGGACAACUCGAGGAAACUCGAGCUAAUACCGCAUACGCCCUACGGGGGAGAGCGGGGGACCUUCGGGCCUCGCACUAUUGGAUGAGCCUAUGUCUGAUUAGCUUGUUGGUGGGGUAAUGGCCUACCAAGGCAACGAUCAGUAGCUGGUCUGAGAGGACGAUCAGCCACACUGGGACUGAGACACGGCCCAG
rnacentral:rRNA from 1 species